GCUUAGGACACCUAUAAGCCUGCUGUUCAAGAUGGCCUAGCAAACUGGUCAGUUACGAACUUUGCUGCAGGUCCCUGAAAAAAACUGGAGUCAAAGAAACUUUUCUUUUGAGCUGCUUGCAGCUUGUAGCAAUUGAGUAAAGUAUAUUGCUGUGAAUAACAUUUGAGGCAUAUUUGUUUCUCUCUACCUAAUUUCUCCAGAAUUUGGAAAUUAUUUACUACUAUGCAACAGAAGAAAACUAUGCCUGAAAUAUCUACAGGAGAAAUUCUGUGUAUGAGUGUUUAAGGAACCUCUUUUGUUACUCAAGUAACCAGAAUGAGUAAUAAAAAUCAAGCAUGAGUAGUA